rnacentral:rRNA from 1 species
CCUACGGGGGGCAGCAGUGAGGAAUAUUGGUCAAUGGACGAGAGUCUGAACCAGCCAAGUAGCGUGAAGGAUGACUGCCCUAUGGGUUGUAAACUUCUUUUAUAAAGGAAUAAAACGAGGCACGUGUGCCUUUUUGCAUGUACUUUAUGAAUAAGGAUCGGCUAACUCCGUGCCAGCAGCCGCGGUAAUACGGAGGAUCCGAGCGUUAUCCGGAUUUAUUGGGUUUAAAGGGAGCGUAGAUGGGUUGUUAAGUCAGUUGUGAAAGUUUGCGGCUCAACCGUAAAAUUGCAAUUGAUACUGGCAGUCUUGAGUACAGUUGAGGUAGGCGGAAUUCGUGGUGUAGCGGUGAAAGGCUUAGAUAUCACGAAGAACCCCGAUUGCGAAGGCAGCUUACUAAACUGUGACUGACAUUGAUGCUCGAAAGUGUGGGUAUCAAACAGGAUUAGAUACCCCAGUAGUC